UAGGGAAUAUUGGACAAUGGGGGCAACCCUGAUCCAGUCAUGCCGCGUGAGUGAAGAAGGCCCUCGGGUUGUAAAGCUCUUUUGUCCGGAAAGAAAAGCAUUCGGUGAAUACCCGGAUGUUCUGACGGUACCGGAAGAAUAAGCACCGGCUAACUUCGUGCCAGCAGCCGCGGUAAUACGAAGGGUGCAAGCGUUACUCGGAAUUACUGGGCGUAAAGCGUGCGUAGGUGGUUGUUUAAGUCUGAUGUGAAAGCCCUGGGCUCAACCUGGGAAUGGCAUUGGAAACUGGGCAGCUAGAGUGCGGUAGAGGGUAGUGGAAUUCCCGGUGUAGCAGUGAAAUGCGUAGAGAUCGGGAGGAACAUCUGUGGCGAAGGCGACUGCCUGGACCAGCACUGACACUGAGGCACGAAAGCGUGGGGAGCAAACA
rnacentral:rRNA from 1 species